CUCUUUGUAACUUUGGACCGUUGAUGUGUCUGUCUUAAUCCCAGCGUGUGUCAGCUGCCCUCAGCAUGCAGAGGCACUGGAGUGUACAGCUCCAGUCUGCCGCUCCUCAGCCCUCGCCUGUUUCCCGGUCACUCCCGGGCCCGCCAACCAGGCUAGACAUGGCACAAGACAGAGAAUGAGCACCACACGAGUCAGGCUUGGUCACCCGCAUAUUGUUUUUGUUCAAAAACUAAACCUGUUCAUAUUUGUACUCAAAAAUUAUCCUAUUAUCAGUCAAUGAUUUCACUUUUAUGGUGUAUUUUUAAAGGUAUAACUUGAAAACAAAAUUGUUGAGUGCUGAAUUUAACGGUGUUGGAUUAUUGUACAAAUUUUCCAUAAAGUGGUCAGUUUGCAAUGAAAGCAAGAAGUUAUAAACUACAUAUACUUGGGGUUAAGAAACACAACUGUGAAACAUUUAUAGUAUGCUUUGAGUUUUAUGGGAGCUUUUACAGCCCAUCUGCCAUUGGCGUAGUUUUAAGUGCUUAAAUUUACUGAUAUGCAUGAAACUUCUGCUUCAAUAUUAUUAAUUGUUCAGUUAUUCAUUUGAAUUAUUCGGCCCACUUUUGUGUAUAAUUGCCAUGACGAUCAGUUGUUUUAAAAAAUAUGCAUUAAUAAUCAUAUAAUCUAAUCACAAGGCCAGCUGACAAAAAAAACAGUAUUUGUUGUGUGCACGCUGAUGAAUGCUCUACAUAUGAAAGCCUCUUUAUCCUCUAAUCUUGUCAUCGCUAAUGAUGUCUAAUUUGAACAUGUGACAUAUGACUGAUAUUCAUGUCUGUUAAUGAAACAACGAGCAUACGCAAUUUCUCCUCUGCGUUUAUCAUUAAUCACAAAGACCAAGGUUAUGUGGUUUUAUUCUGACACACUAAGAGGCCAAGAAAGAGUACAAAGGGUAGAAUAACACUGGUGAUAAUCCAAUGAGAGAACUACGUGUAAGUUUAAAGAUCUAAUUGUUAAAGUGUGAGUCAGUUUUGUCGUUUUUUUACAUGGAGAUAUUGCAGUGUUAAGUCUUUCAUCUUGCCCUACCAUCAGGAGGAAGGGAUAGUGGGGCAGAAAUUGAAGGCGUUCUUGACAGAAAUGGAUUAAAUAGCUCCCCCUGAAGGCACAAAGAUGAAAUAUGAGCCCAAAUCAGGAAGACAAAGCGUGUCUCCACACAAAGUCAGAUCACAGCACACAUUCUCAAUGAGUAUUAUAAGCUCAACCAGCUGUAUGCUCAUUUAUCUGGUGCCAAAACAACCCCUACUGGUAACUGGAAUCAUGUUUUUUCAUUUUAUUUUGAUGAACUACAACAAAAAAAAAUAUUGUUUUCAUCAUUCCGUAUUGGUUUUCCUUUUAUUUAUAUUGGGAUCACAGAUUAGGCUCUUAAACCUGAUCCCCAGAGUCCUGCUAAUGAACUUAUGUGUUCCGACAUUUAAACAGGCAGGCCUGGACAGCCCCUCAUAACUCAGAAAGGUUAUCCUCUGGCAGCAGAUAUAGAUAAAUGUCAGGGAUGUUGCUGAGGCUUUACUGAAACAGAGCAGAUAUGAUGCACAGUGCUGAUAUUUACACAGCAGGGGCAAGUAUGGAGGAUGAUGGGGGAAGCAUGGCCUGCUGUCAAAAAAUGGGUUUUAUUGAAUUCUUAAUCUAGCAAUGAAUUUUGAAACGGAAAGCCUCCGUAAGACUUAUCAUAAAGGGUGUAAUGGUGGUGUGUGUAUGACACAUUAUAUGAAAUGUGCUUUAAGUCUGUUUUCACUGAAGCUGUUACAAUACCGUCACCAUCUUGAGUGAUGCAUUGAGCUUAGC